rnacentral:rRNA from 1 species
UACGUAGGGGGCAAGCGUUGUCCGGAUUUAUUGGGCGUAAAGAGCGUGUAGGCGGUUUGGUAGGUCCGCUGUGAAAACUCGAGGCUCAACCUCGAGACGCCGGUGGAAACCAUCAGGCUAGAGUCCGGAAGAGGAGAGUGGAAUUCCUGGUGUAGCGGUGAAAUGCGCAGAUAUCAGGAAGAACACCAGUGGCGAAGGCGGCUUCCUGGACCGACACUGACGCUGAGGCGCGAAAGCGUGGGGAGCGAACAGG